AGUGGAGUGUGCUGAGUAAUAAUGAAACUCAUCUGAUUCUGAAUCAUCUGGUGCCUUCAGACUGGAAAAGGCAGAAGGCAGGUGAGACCAGGUUGAACACUGGCCGAAUCCAGGGGAUGACUUUGAAAAACAAGGUAUAUUUUAAUGUAAAUCCCCAUGAAUUUAUGUUGUGUCGCCAUCCUUAGGGGACCGGCCUGACUAAGCCAGCACCUGCUGACCCCUCCCCCACCCCUCCCUCCGCACCUCCCCCCACUCCUUCCCCUCCCCAGUCACUGGCCUCUGGGUCACAGAGACCUUCUUCAGUGAAUGCCUCAGCCCCCUCUGGCCUCAAGGCAGCACGCACUGUUCCCUUUGCCUGAAAUACCUUUCCUCCCUUCUCACCAGGCUGACUCUUGCUCAGUCCUCAGGCCCCUCUGAAAUGUCACUUCCUCAGGGAGGCCUGCCCUGCCUGCUCUCUCCCCCAGACUCGUUUUUUAUUGCCUUCAUGCUUAUGGCUCCUGCGCCUUUUUUUUUUUUUUCAGGGCAUUUAUGGAUAUUUGUGGCCAUGUGUUUAUUUGCGUGUUUCUUUCUUUCAUGUCUGUCUCCCCAGCCAGACAGUGACCUCUUUCAGGGCAGGGACUGGGUUCGGCUCCCUGCUUACAGCCCCAGGACCUCGCACAGCACCUGGCCCACAGCACACCCACAGAAAGCUUUGUUGAAUGAACGAAUGCAUGCAUGCAUGCAUGCGUUUUCCACUGCUUCAUAAAGGCGAAAGAAAGAUUCCUGCUAAUUGAAGCUCCUGGCUAGGGAUGUUUGUCCUACGCCCCGGGGCUGAGCCUGGGGAAGCCAGGAGAGAGGGGCUGGGUCCCUCCCAGUGCAGUCUGCCAUCCACUUCUUCUGUCGAACUCUUCCAGGCUCACUUGGAAACAAACAGAGGAUUUUUUUUUUUUUUUUUUUUUUGAGAAUCCAUUUCCUCAUUUCAGAUUCUCCACCACACUGAAUGGGAGGUCGGCAGGUAUCAUCCUCACUGUUUUACAAGAUGCUUUUGCCCAGAGAGGCACGGUGGAGCCAUUGCUGGAACCAGCCUUGGGCAAAUGAGUCAGAAGUCAGCACCCCAGGAGCCCCAAACACAGAGGGUGGAUUUUUUCACACCCAAAUGGAGUCUUCCUUUCUGGAGGCUCAGGAGAAGGGCCUCACUAUGGGUCACUGCUGUUUGUUGAGCACACGCUGGUGCCACGCUGGGCGAAUUGCUUGUUAUCUCUGUACAGGUUUACGAUCACUCAGCGGACCGGACGAAGAAACUGGCACAGAAAGGUUCAGUCACUUGAGCAAGGCACCCAGCUAGCUAGCUAGUUAAGUGUUGCUGGUAGGAUCUGAACCCAGAUCUACUGACGUAUAGACUCUUAACCUUAUACUUCAAGGCAAAGAAAAUCCCAGGGGUGCCGAGGAGACGCUGCCGAGAUGUCCCCGAAACCGCGCGGCACAGAGAAGCCCACGGACAACCCCGGGUGGGCGUCUCGCGCACUUCGGACCUCCGGGGGCGGGGCGGGGGCGACCCGGGCCCCGCCCUCAUGUCCCGUCGCCUCGGCCCCGCCCCGCGCCCCGCCCCGCGCCCCGCCCCGCCCGCUCCGGCCGCGCUCGGCUCCGCCCCCGCGGGCAGCGCGGGCUUCCCAUUGGCCGCCGUUUCCAUGGUUACGCGGGGCCGGUGGCGCUGCAGACUUCCCGACACGUGUCCCCCGGAGCCGCCCGGAAUUUGACAGGGGACCAUGUGCGCGGCAGCGCGGGAGCCAGACAAAGGGCCGGGGGAGGCGGGGAACGAAGCCGGCGGAGAGGCCCGGUGGCCGGGCAGGGAUGAGCCGCCUGCUUCUCCCGCGAGCUGGAGCAGUCCCCCACCUCCUGCCUUUUUUUGUAUUUUGAAGGAAAGAAAAAAUAAACAAGAAUUGCUGUGGAAAGCGAGGAGGGAGACGUUUCCAGCCAGUCCCACCUGCUCUCCCUCCUCCAGGGAAAACUGGGAAGCGAAAGCUUAACAGUGCGGUUGUUUUGAUGCUGCAGAAAUGCGACCCAAGGAAUUGUGGGGGAUCUUGCUACCCCCGUUCAUCCUACAACAGCGACCUCACUCCAGUAGCGACCAUGUGUCGAGGCUGCCCGUGUGGCUUGGCUGGAGGCUCCCUUUCAUCUGCAAAGCCAGGAGAGGCCCACUGAGUCUUUCCUCAUCCUGGACACCAACUCUUCUUCCCUCUGCCAUCAUUUAAGAAUGCUUAUGAUUACCAUCGCCACCCGGAUAAUCCAGAAUAAUCUCUCCAUCCCCAAGUUAGCUGGUUAGCCAUCUUUUUUAAAAAUUUUUUUUUUUAACUUUUAUUUAUUUU